rnacentral:lncRNA from 1 species
CAACAUACAACUCCCUUACUUAAGUUGUACCUUCAUCAUAUGAUAAGUACCCUCAAACUGUAUCCAAGACAGAUUCAAAAUGGGUUGAGCACGGUCCAACAUAUGAAUGGCAUGACUCUCUCGUACCAUCUCCAUAUGACUCGUAUGGAGUAUAGUCAUACUUAGGACAGUACAUAAUCAAGAACACACUGCUUAACAUAUGACUUGUGCCUGCUAGGUCAUGCCCAAAUCA